rnacentral:rRNA from 1 species
UACGUAGGGAGCAAGCGUUGUCCGGAAUCAUUGGGCGUAAAGCGCGCGUAGGUGGCUUCGUAAGUCCGUUGUGAAAGUCAAAGGCUCAACCUUUGAAAGCCGAUGGAUACUGUGGAGCUAGAGUACGGAAGAGGCGAGUGGAAUUCCUGGUGUAGCGGUGGAAUGCGCAGAUAUCAGGAGGAACACCGGUGGCGAAGGCGGGUCUCUGGGCAACAACGUGACGCUGAGGAGCGAAAGCGUGGGGAGCGAACAGG